rnacentral:rRNA from 1 species
CAGUAGCCGCGGGAAAACGUAGGUGGCAAGCGUUGUCCGGAAUUAUUGGGCGUAAAGGGCUCGCAGGCGGUUUCUUAAGUCUGAUGUGAAAGCCCCCGGCUUAACCGGGGAGGGUCAUUGGAAACUGGGAAACUUGAGUGCAGAAGAGGAGAGUGGAAUUCCACGUGUAGCGGUGAAAUGCGUAGAGAUGUGGAGGAACACCAGUGGCGAAGGCGACUCUCUGGUCUGUAACUGACGCUGAGGAGCGAAAGCGUGGGGAGCGAACAGGAUUAGAUACCCCCGUAGUCCCUGUCUCUUAUAC